rnacentral:rRNA from 1 species
UAGGGAAUCUUCCACAAUGGACGCAAGUCUGAUGGAGCAACGCCGCGUGAGUGAAGAAGGUUUUCGGACCGUAAAGCUCUGUUGUUGGUGAAGAAGGAUAGAGGUAGUAACUGGCCUUUAUUUGACGGUAAUCAACCAGAAAGUCACGGCUAACUACGUGCCAGCAGCCGCGGUAAUCGUAGGUGGCAAGCGUUGUCCGGAUUUAUUGGGCGUAAAGCGAGCGCAGGCGGAAGAAUAAGUCUGAUGUGAAAGCCCUCGGCUUAACCGAGGAAUUGCAUCGGAAACUGUUUUCUUGAGUGCAGAAGAGGANAGUAGAACUCCAUGUGUAGCGGUGGAAUGCGUAGAUAUAUGGAAGAAUACCAGUGGCGAAGGCGGCUCUCUGGUCUGCAACUGACGCUGAGGCUCGAAAGCAUGGGUAGCGAACAGGAUUAGAUACCCUGGUAGUCCAUGCCGUAAACGAUGAGUGCUAAGUGUUGGGAGGCUUCCGCCUCUCAGUGCUGCAGCUAACGCAUUAAGCACUCCGCCUGGGGGAGUACGACCGCAAGGUUGAAAC